AGGGGAAUCCUAACCCUCCGCCCUCUCUCUCCCUCCCCGCGCCGCCACCUCCGCUCCCUUUCUCCUCUCUGCCUCCCUGCAGCAGCUUCCUCCCCUCCCCUUCUUCGUCGCUCCUCCUACUCUUCGCUGCCGCCGUCGGAGGGGGAGUAGCCGGCCGCGCCGCCGUCAGCGGCGAGGGCGGCAGGCGGCUACGCAUUGCCAGCACGAGCGAGGGCGUGGCGUUUGUGGCCGCAUCGGUCGACCGCUUCCUGGCGGACGCCUCGCUUGCCGGCUGCCGCCGCGCCCAAACCGGCCGCCCGCUUGCUCUCGCGGUGGACGCCGUCCUCCCCCAUGCGCCAUCCGGCCAUCCCUCCCUGCUCGCAUUCCGGCCACCGCCGCGCCACCACGGCCUCUGUUGCCGAGCGUCGUGCCGUGCCAUGCUGGGCCGCGCGCCGAGGCCCCAGAGCAUUGGGUGCAGCAUGGACGAGGAGGAAAGGGACAGGGAUGGGCACUCCCUCGGUGCGGUGUCGCCCGUUGCUCUGCACUCGUGACUGAUGCCGAUCUCUACUACCUAUCUACCCUCAACCCCCCCCCCCCCCCUCCCCCCCCCCCCCCUUCCUCCCGACCCUCUCUCUUGUUCCUUCGGCACCUCGCCACUUCAGCAGCACAUCCAUCUCUGGAUCCGCGUUGAGGUGUCGCCGACGACGGCAAUGAGCAGGAAAGGGGAUUUCUCUUGAGUGGUUUCGUUCUCUCUCUCAAGCAGGCCAAUGAGCAUAGGAAUUCAAAGAGGUGCUUGGAGCAGGAAAGAAGCAUUCUGAACCUUUUCUGAUCAGAGAGCAUUACUCUGAUAAAUACAUAAUUGGCUUGGCAAGUGAAGAUUUGAAGAACACAAUAGAGAAGACGUUGGGUGGUGCUGGAGUGGCCCUUUUAUCCCCAAGCUUCUUCCAGGGAUGAUGGUUUACCUUGCAUACAAGGCUGCAGCUUCGGUACAAGCUAAAGUCUACAGAGACAAAAAGGAUCUCCAAUUGAUACUCAAGAAAGGAUAUUUUAUUUCAAAAAAAACUCAGGAAAGGAUUAUGACAACGGAAGUAUAUGUAAAUAAAUGUAUAUUCUAUGGGUGAUAAUUUGAAUUUUUUUUUGAACCAGUUAUUGCUGAUUUCUUCAUGUGAGGACAAUGGACCACCUACUACAGUAACCAACAUCUGUGUGUUCAUUUUAAAGCA